UUUGCUUUGCUCCGGGCUGAUCAUCAAAAUUAGGCUUUCUGCCCUCCAAGUCCCCUUCAAGCAGGGUGGGGAGUCAUCCCACACAGCACCUGUGAAGCUGUUUCGGCAAGAGAACCUGGCCAGACCUAGCACCUCAACACUGGGACCCUGCUCAUUCAGAAAAGGCCUGCAAUACAGUAUGGAAGUAUUUAGCAUGCGCACAAGAGUUAGAGUGUUCACAUGGAGAAAAGCAGUGCUGGCUCUCCUCUCCUGCCACUCAUUACACUUGGAAGAUAAUUAGGAC